rnacentral:rRNA from 1 species
GUGUCAGCAGCCGCGGUAAGACGAACCGAGCGAACGUUGUUCGGAAUCACUGGGCUUAAAGGGCGCGUAGGCGGGUGCUCAAGUCCGGGGUGAAAUCCUCCAGCUCAACUGGAGAACUGCCUCGGAUACUGGGUGCCUCGAGGGUGGUAGGGGUAUGCGGAACUAUCGGUGGAGCGGUGAAAUGCGUUGAUAUCGAUAGGAACUCCGGUGGCGAAGGCGGCAUACUGGACCACAUCUGACGCUGAGGCGCGAAAGCCAGGGGAGCAAACGGGAUUAGAUACCCCAGUAGUCC